GGAGAAAGCAGGGGAUCGCAAGACCUUGCGCUUUUGGAGCGGCCGAUGCCUGAUUAGCUAGUUGGUGAGGUAAAGGCUCACCAAGGCUCCGAUCAGUAGCUGGUCUGAGAGGACGACCAGCCACACUGGGACUGAGACACGGCCCAGACUCCUACGGGAGGCAGCAGUGGGGAAUUUUGGACAAUGGGCGAAAGCCUGAUCCAGCAAUGCCGCGUGAGUGAAGAAGGCCUUCGGGUUGUAAAGCUCUUUUGUCAGGGAAGAAACGGUGCGGGCUAAUAUCCCGCACUAAUGACGGUACCUGAAGAAUAAGCACCGGCUAACUACGUGCCAGCAGCCGCGGUAAUACGUAGGGUGCAAGCGUUAAUCGGAAUUACUGGGCGUAAAGCGUGCGCAGGCGGUUUUGUAAGUUUGUCGUGAAAGCCCCGGGCUCAACCUGGGAAUUGCGAUGAAGACUGCAAGGCUUGAAUCUGGCAGAGGGGGGUAGAAUUCCACGUGUAGCAGUGAAAUGCGUAGAGAUGUGGAGGAACACCGAUGGCGAAGGCAGCCCCCUGGGUCAAGAUUGACGCUCAUGCACGAAAGCGUGGGGAGCAAACAGGAUUAGAUACCCUGGUAGUCCACGCCCUAAACGAUGUCUACUAGUUGUCGGGUUUUAAUUAACUUGGUAACGCAGCUAACGCGUGAAGUAGACCGCCUGGGGAGUACGGUCGCAAGAUUAAAACUCAAAGGAAUUGACGGGGACCCGCACAAGCGGUGGAUGAUGUGGAUUAAUUCGAUGCAACGCGAAAAACCUUACCUACCCUUGACAUGGACGGAAGCCACGAGAGAUCGAGGUGUGCUCGAAAGAGAACCGUCACACAGGUGCUGCAUGGCUGUCGUCAGCUCGUGUCGUGAGGUGUUGGGUUAAGUCCCGCAACGAGCGCAACCCUUGUCAUUAGUUGCUACGAAAGAGCACUCUAAUGAGACUGCCGGUGACAAACCGGAGGAAGGUGGGGAUGACGUCAAGUCCUCAUGGCCCUUAUGGGUAGGGCUUCACACGUAAUACAAUGGCGCGUACAGAGGGUUGCCAACCCGCGAGGGGGAGCUAAUCUCAGAAAGCGCGUCGUAGUCCGGAUCGGAGUC
rnacentral:rRNA from 1 species